ACGACGAAGAAUAUGACAUUUCUUUUGGUCCAGAGAAAACUUUUAUAUGCUCAAAACUGGAUAAGGCAUUGAAGUUGCUCGAUUUCAAAGAUUGUAAAUUCUUCAGAGAAACGGAUAGUAAUAAUGACGAAGUUUCAUCUGAUGUGAGAAUGAAGUCUAGUCAAGUUCACGAAGGCACUUUUAAAUAAAUGAAGACAUUGACAAAACUUUGUAAAUAUGAUUGUAAACGUGAUUUUAGUAGAUUUGUAAUUUUAAGGGAUUUUCAAAGCAAAAUCCUUUACGUUUGUUUACUUCUGAAAAAUAUGAAAUAAAAUAUAGAAUGAUA